CUAAAUUUCGCCAUGCGCAUAAUCCCCCAGGGCAGGGCUUUCAUUUCUAGGCUCCUCUCCCUGUUCCCCACUUUCUCCAAUGACUAUGUCCGCAUAUCCUUGGACUGUCCUGCGACCGCUGACCUCCAGAUGUGGUACAAAUUCCUCUCGGACUGGAAUGGGAGGAGCAUGUUCCUCCCGCAGAUUGAUUCACAGUCACCAGUCAUUUG